CCAGUCGGCCGGACAGCCGCUGCCGCAAGUGCCGAAAGGCCGCGGGGGAGGAAAGUCCGGGCUCCAUGGAAACACGGUGCCGGGUAACGCCCGGCGAGGGUGACCUUAGGGAAAGUGCCACAGAAAGCAAACCGCCCCGGAUCAGUCCGGGGUAAGGGUGAAAGGGUGGGGUAAGAGCCCACCGCGCGGACGGCAACGGACGCGGCAUGGUAAACCCCACCGGGAGCAAGACCGAAUAGGGACAGCGCGGGUCCGCAUGCAAGUGCGGCUCAGGCCAGUUUCCGGGCCAGCUGUCCGGGUGGGUUGCGCGAGGCGUCUGGCAACAGGCGUCCCAGAUGAAUGGCUGUCACGUCUGUGGUUUCGGCCACAGGCCAUACCGAACCCGGCUUACAGGCCGACUGGUUUU
rnacentral:RNase_P_RNA from 1 species